rnacentral:lncRNA from 1 species
GCCCGAGAAGUCCGCAGGAAUGGGUGUGAGCCUCUCCAUCUGUCUCCACUCCCGGAGAAGCUGUUCUGCCCCCGCAGGCAGGCCCACUCCCACCAUGGUCUCUCAUUUCAUUUUUCUGCAUCGUGGAGGCUGGUCAUGGAAAAGAAAAUGCCCAUUUCACCCAUUUCUCUACCUCCUGGUAGGGCCCAGAGUUGAACAGCAGAAUCUUUUGAGCACCUAUCAUUCAUCCAUCCAUCCAUCCAUCCACCCACCAAACACGGAUAAAGACCCAGCAGCACCGGCACAGCGAUGGGUCUAGUGAGUGCCAAGACAACCUCCACAGGCUCGGGGGCGUGGCAAUCUAGGUGCGGAGGAGGAACCAGAUGCUGAAACACCCAUAACAAGCCACAGUAGUGGCAGCGCACGAGGGCCAGGCCCUCACCUGGUGGCUGGGGAGGCAUCACAGAGGAGGAGGGCCGAGUUGGGCUAAUGGAUGGCAGGAGAGCAGCAUUGCUAAUCUGGGCAGGCUCUGGAAGUUUUCUAGUCUCUGAGGGCUGAUGCUGCAGACUCUAGGGUUUAGCCUAGCCACUAGGGAGAAGUACUGCUGCCCGAGACCCUCCCCAGUGACUCAUCUCCCUCCUCCCGGCUAGUGGGCAGGACCAGUAGGGAAGGCAGGCAGUGGAGGGAAGGGUUCGCAAGGCUGCCUCCACUUUAUUUAUUGGUUUGAUUAUUUCUCCAUCCCAGGGAGAGAGUCAGUGGACCCCUUUUCUUGCUUUAGCCCAUGAUGGGGAGCAGGGAGGGGCUGGAGAACUGGUGCCUCACGAGCGGUUACUGAUGCCCUAAUUACAAGAGGAUGC